UCCGGAGGUGAACCUGCGGAAGGAUCAUAG
rnacentral:rRNA from 1 species